rnacentral:rRNA from 1 species
CAGUAGCCACGGUAAUACGGAGGGUGCAAGCGUUAAUCGGAAUUACUGGGCGUAAAGCGCACGCAGGCGGUCUGACAAGUCAGAUGUGAAAUCCCCGGGCUUAACCUGGGAACUGCAUUUGAAACUGUCAGGCUGGAGUCUUGUAGAGGGGGGUAGAAUUCCAGGUGUAGCGGUGAAAUGCGUAGAGAUCUGGAGGAAUACCGGUGGCGAAGGCGGCCCCCUGGACAAAGACUGACGCUCAGGUGCGAAAGCGUGGGGAGCAAACAGGAUUAAAUACCCCAGUAGUCCCUGUCUCUUAUAA